GAUGAACGCUGGCGGCGUGCCUAAUACAUGCGAGUCGAGCGAACAGACGCGGAGCUUGCUUCUCUGACGUUAGCGGCGGACGGGAGAGUAACGCGUGUAAAACCUACCUGUAAGACUGAGAUAACUUCGGGAAACCGGAGCAAACAGCGGAUAAUAUUCUGAACCGUGUUGUUCAAAAGUGAAAGACGGUCUUUCUGGCAGUUCUAGAUGGAUCCGGGCUGGUUGAGCUGGUUGGGAAGGUAACGGCUUACGAAGGCAAGGAUGCAUAGACGACCGGAGAGAGUGGUCGGCGACCUGGGAGCUGGACCGCGGUCCAGGCUCCUACGGGACGCAGCAGUAGGGAAUCGUCCGCAAUGGGCGGAAGCCUGACGGAGCGACGCCGAGUGAGUGGUAAAAGUCCUGGGAUCGUGAAACUGUGUUAUUAGUGAAGAACAGAUGUGUAAGUAACUGUGCACAGCGUGACGGUACCUAAUCAGAAAGCCACGGCUAACUACGUG
rnacentral:rRNA from 1 species